rnacentral:rRNA from 1 species
AACGAACGCUGGCGGCAGGCCUAAAACAUGCAAGUCGAACGGGUGUAGCAAUACAUCAGUAGCGCACGGGUGAGUAACGCGUGGGAACGUGCCCUUCACUACGGGACAACGUCGGGAAACUGACGCUAAUACCGUAUAAUGACUCCGGUCCAAAGAUUUAUCGGUGAAGGAGCGGCCCGCGUCUGAUUAGCUAGUUGGUGAGGUAAUGGCUCACCAAGGCUACGAUCAGUAGCAGGUCUGAGAGGAUGAUCUGCCACACUGGGACUGAGACACGGCCCAGACUCCUACGGGAGGCAGCAGUUAGGAAUAUUGGACAAUGGGCGAAAGCCUGAUCCAGCCAUGCCGCGUGGGUGAUGAAGGCCCUAGGGUUGUAAAGCACUUUCGUUGGGGAAGAUAAUGACUGUACCCAAAGAAGAAGCACCGGCUAACUUCGUGCCAGCAGCCGC